GACGAACGCUGGCGGCGUGCCUAAUACAUGCAAGUCGAGCGGACGAAUCGAAAGCUUGCUUUUGAUUCGUUAGCGGCGGACGGGUGAGUAACACGUGGGCAACCUGCCCUGUAGACGGGGAUAACACCGAGAAAUCGGUGCUAAUACCGGAUAACACGAAAUGUCGCAUGACGUUUCGUUGAAAGACGGCGCAAGCUGUCGCUACAGGAUGGGCCCGCGGCGCAUUAGCUAGUUGGUGAGGUAACGGCUCACCAAGGCGACGAUGCGUAGCCGACCGGAGAGGGGGAUCGGCCACACUGGGACUGAGACACGGCCCAGACUCCUACGGGAGGCAGCAGUAGGGAAUCUUCCGCAAUGGACGAAAGUCUGACGGAGCAACGCCGCGUGAGCGAAGAAGGCCUUCGGGUCGUAAAGCUCUGUUGUUAGGGAAGAACAAGUAACGCAGUAACUGGCGUUACCGUGACGGUACCUAACGAGAAAGCCACGGCUAACUACGUG
rnacentral:rRNA from 1 species